GCUAAAAUGCACCAAGAAUGAGUGUCAAUACAUUUGUGUGAUGGUGGACUAUCUCACCAAGUGGCUUGAGGUGUACUCACUGAAAACCAAAGGAGCGGAAGAAAUCCCCAUGUGUGUAAUGGAUUUCUUUUAUAAAUAUGGCGCCCCAAAGCGUAUCCUCACCGACCGUGGAAAGGAAUUUGUGAAAUGAAUACCGAGUGCCAGAAACUUGGCAUUGACGAAGCCUCUGUGUUCCAUACCCGCAAACCAAUGGCUUGGUUGGAAAACUCAAUGGCACGAUUCAAGGGAGUUUUGAAAAAAAAGGUCCAGGAUCACCCAGUGACUGGGACCAAUACAUUAAGUCCACUGUGUUUGGUCUAAGGACGAAGAACAGCUGACCACAAAGUACUCCCCAUAUUUCCUCAUGUAUGGGAGGGAAGCUCGGUAUCCCUCCGAAAUACCGGUCGAGGGGCAGCGAUCAGAGGACCAUAUCGGUGCUCUCACCAGGAAUGAGGAGGUUUCCAACCACAUCACAGAGCAGAAGGAUGUGUAUACGAAGGUUGCUGCAAAUCUGGCAAAAAGCCACGAUCGUGUACGCAAAAGAAAGUUGGCAAAGGGGGAUGAUGACUGCUUUGUUGUGGGGGACGAGGAAAAACAUAAGGGAAGAGCAAAGAAAAGGGGACAAAUGGAGGCAGACAUGAUGGGUCCAUAUACCAUAACUAACAUUGAUGACAAAAGUGCUGACCUCAUGAGCAACAAAGGAAAGAAAAUCCUGAAAAUUAACAUCGACCAUCUCCAAAAAUAUGCGGAACCUGAAGAUCGUAUUCCAGGCAAAUGGAUGGCGGCGUCUUCUCCUCCCCCUCUGCAGUCCAGCCCGUUGCAGUGUUUUGUUCCCCUUGUUGCUGACAAGCAAACAACCCCCCAGCCGGUCUCCUUGACCUCCGCUCCCCAGAGGAACUCAUAGCUGACAUCUGGGCGGGUAAACGCCGAGCUGUGCUGUGGAGCAAAGUGGGGCCGUAUAAAAUAUUUGCCGCAGACUUUCAGAACUUGGCCCCCGGAAGGGAAAUAGGGAGUGAGGUGCAGGGGGUUGAGAGGGUGCGCUGGGAACCGCAAGUAGUUUGAGUCCCGCCUGCCCCAUGUCACAAGUCGAAGUGUCCCUGAGCAAGACGCCUUCGAUAUCCCCAUCGGACCGGUUUGCCACAAACGGCACUGGACACUUGUGGUCAUUUAUCCAAAGGAACACCGGACGGUUUACCUUGAUCCGUUAGGUGAAACUCCAGACAACUUGACUAGAUGCAAGGAUAUGACAAGGUGUGUUAUACAUCCCAUGUGUGUAAUAUGAGAUUAUAUAUAUUAUAUCUGAUUAAUUUCUCUCCAACAGAGCCUUCAUGAGAAACAAAAAUAUGUGUCAAGAUGGAGUUGCUCAACCGUGAGCCACCCGAGACGGCAAGACUCGCCAUCCUGUGGGGCGCUAAGCGUGUGAGAGACCCUUUGGUGAUUAUUACAUGUUACUGAUUUAAAAAUACUGCCUAGUUUGCAGAAUUUGGUGACCAGUUUAAUUUCUGUACCGACGAGGCCGCUCCAACUCUCUUGAGAAGAGAGAUAGCUUGCAGACUGGUCAGUGACUCAGGUUUGUCUUUUUCCUGUUAAUGUUUUGUCACAUGCACUUAAUUGUUCAUUUUAUUACACUUGUUAGAAAGCAUGACCGAUCUAUGCAGAGCAUGUGGAAAUGCACGCCAAAGUCCAGGGAGCAGGGGACAUGAUGACUGGAUCCAGUGCUCAACAUGCGCCCUGUGGUUCCAUUGGGUUUGCACUGGGAAACCACCUUCGGAGCAGGACUUCUGCUGUCCAGCAGUUUCAAUGAUUUAUUGAUUGUGACUGUUAAAACACUUAUUUAAUAAAAUUUCCUUUGAGAACUUUA